rnacentral:rRNA from 1 species
UACGUAGGGGGCAAGCGUUGUCCGGAAUCAUUGGGCGUAAAGCGCGUGUAGGCGGUUCAGUAAGUCUGCUGUGAAAGUCCAGGGCUCAACCCUGGGAUGCCGGUGGAUACUGCUGAACUAGAGUACGGAAGAGGCGAGUGGAAUUCCCGGUGUAGCGGUGAAAUGCGCAGAUAUCGGGAGGAACACCUAUGGCGAAGGCAGCUCGCUGGGACGUUACUGACGCUGAGACGCGAAAGCGUGGGGGAGCAAACAGG